CUGGAACGCUUUUGAGAGCAGAAAAGGGGGGAAGGGCCACCUGGAGCCUGACCUUUGUCCUUCUGAGGACUCAGCCCAGGAUCUGAAUGGACACAGGUUCUGGGUAUUAUAGAGCAGGGUAGUAGUUGCAGAAAGAUAAUCCGGGAAGGAGAAAAAAGUGAGAAGACAGAGGUGGUUCUUGAAAGGAGCAGCAGUUUGGGCCAGAAGUGCUGGGCUGGGCUUUCACUAUCAGCCGUGUCCCGCUGGGCCUCUUGGAGGCCUCCAGGAGGCGGGUCCUCGGGAGGAAGGGCAAGGCUGUGCUGAGUGCCUGGGGCGGACGCCCACUGCCCACGGCUGACUGCCUGAUCAGGGGAAGGGCAGGUGAUGAAGAUGUCCUUGUGCAAGGUCAUUUCCAUCCACAGCCAGCAUCCUUCUGGCCAACAGAGGAGACCUCAGGGCGGAGGGCCUGGUUCUGAGCUCCUUCCCCUGCCCGCGCCCCAUCCCAGCCAAGAGAUACUGUGAGACCUGAGAACUGCCUCGAGGAAUGAAAAGAAAGUGAGAAGGACAGCUCAACUCAAGUCACCUCGGAUCCUGGCUGAACCACGUAAGGGCUUCUGCCACCUCCCCCUGACCCCCUCGGAUGAGCCUUCAGGACUCACACAGCCAGCUGGUAGUCCACAGAAUGGCAUUAGGCUAUGAUGACCACACAUACGCUAUGAAGGCAGCACCGGAUGUCACCUAAUUAAGACAAACCCCAGGGAUCCUGGGAACCAAGAGGUCCUGCCCCCAGAGCCUAGUGAUCAACACCUGAUUCUUCUAGGUCUCCCAGGAAGCAGGCAAAUAUGAUGCUGGAAGCAGAAAGAUAAGCCACCAUUAAUAGAAAUAGACAGCCCUGGGCAAUGAGAGACACUGGGGGUCCAAAUUCUAUUAUUGAAACCAUAAAUGAGCAUCUCAGGCCUGGAAAAAAGGCUUCUAGUAGCUGGAAUAAAAGGCCAGAAGUCCUGGGGCCAGGCUUAGGCAGCUGCCAGACACACUUGAUCGUUUCAAGCAGGGAGGAGGAGCCCUGGGGCGAGGAGCAUCGUGUAUUUCAUCACCAGACAAAUUCAAAAGCCAGGUGAGCACAAAGCCCCACGCCCAACUCUGGCCUGCAGCCCUGGGCAGAGGGGCCACAGCUCCCGAAAUCUGGACCCCUGUUGCCAACAGCACUGCUUCUGCAAGUCCUGCAGAACACUUCCCAGGAGAUGCCUGCCAACGAAGUCCCAGACUCAAUGGAAACUGCCACUUAGCAGAAAAACAGAAGCCCUGUUACUGCGUGCUAAGACGGCUAAGAGGGCUGCAAAACAGCCCCCUCCCCUUCCUGAGAGCCCAAUAGGAAGGGUGGGAGUGCAGCAGAAAACGCCAGAAGAAUUCAAAACCAGCAAGGAGUUCAAAUCCAAAAUGGUCUGGCAUUAUAAUGAUAUUCAACCAGUGUGCACCAGUCCAGGCAAACUGGUGCUUAAAAUAUUGAAAUACCUCUGUAACCGUUGGCAAAUCGCGCUGCCUAAGCCCCUGAUUGCUGCACCAGCAUGAUGGCCAGUGUCCACUCUGUUUGGUGGUGCCCCGGCCAUACUGAUUUAGAGGGGCGAAGUAACUUGUCCAAAGUCACACAGCUAGGAAGCGGCAGCACGGGGACUGAAGCUCGUGUCUGUCUGAUGCUGGGACCCAGGCUCAACCGUUUGCCAUAUGGCCCAUACACCUGCUUAGAGGCGGCAAUAGAAGCUUCAUAGCAAAGGAGUUCACCUGAUAGUCAGUUCACAUGUUGACCUCCUGCAUGUUAUUUUAAUACACUUGAGUGUGUACAUUUUUGUUAUACCUUCCUAAAUAGCUAAGAAUAAUUUAAAGCCAAACAUUUGCAGCCCCCCUGAAGUACCUCCAAACACCCCCAAGUUCUAUGAAGGCCAGUCUGAAGACCCUGCAUUGGGCUAACACAGGGUUGGCAAACGGUGGUUCCUUGGGCCAAACCUGGCCCACCCCCUGUUUUGAUAAAGAAACUUUUGUUGAAACACAGCCAUGCCCGUUUGUUUGCAGAUGUCUACGGCUGCUUUUGCACUGCAGCAGCAGAGUCGGAUUGUUUCAACAGAGAGCACGGAGCUGAAAAGAUUUAUCUUUACAGACAAAGUUCGCUGACCCCUGGGCUAAGGCAAACCUCCCUGGACCACUCCUCAGUGGGAGAGACCAGCUCACAUCCACCGAAGCAUUGGGAGGUGGAGGCUGGCUCUGUUGCCCACAGGGCAGCACGUGGGAGCUCCAUGCCCACCUGCAAGCAUUGUUAGGGCUGCAAAGAAUUGCAGAGUUGAUGCCAACACAGCAGACCCUUGGCGUCUGAGGAUUAAGACUUCAACUUUUGACUAUUUUCAAGUGACCCAUGGCCUGUUGUCAUUUGAAAUGUUGUUGAUGCACAAAUUUGACUCGGGUGUGCCCUCCCAAGCUGAUUAGUGAGGGGCAGGGAGCAGGACCCCUGGCUGGGGUCGAGCCCAGCUGGCAGUGCAGCAUCUGCUCAGUGUGGCUUUGUUGUUCUCAGCUUGUUAUUGCCCUCAUGGGGCCUCUCGAGGAGUGAUAAGUGCUGGUAGACGGAUGGGCCUUGGUUAAAUAUUAGUUUUGGAUAAAGCGAAGUGCCCCGUGUUGACCUUAGUGCUCAGAUCUCACGAGUCCUCCACAUGUUCUCUGUGGCAGCAAGAACAAACUGUUCACGACAAUGGUCCCAGUGAGCGCUGUAUCGGUGCAGAAGUUACUGAUCAAGCAAGAGAUAAAACUCCAGUGAAAGAUGGAAUGGCAGUUUUCCUGUGGUAUGAGGGUGUGAGCAACAAACACACAUGCCUCAUGAUGGAAUUGUGGACCAGGAGAAAUCUAGGACCCUGCAGAUCUAGGGAUUUACCAAGGUUCCAGGAUCCACUGCAAGAAUGGCAAGUGCGGAAGCAGUCCCACCUACCGCCAUGGUUGAUGUCGCCGUUCCAUCAUGAUACUCUUCUCCGCUAAGCCUAGACUUGGCCUCAGAAUCCUUCUCAAUCCAGCAUUCCAGGCAGCCACUACAUGAGGGAUGGAAUCCUAUUUUGCUGUCCUUUCUGGUGUUGGGUAUUGCUUUCCAGGGAGCAUGCAAGGCCCUGAAUGUUCAUUCUCUGAUGCUGUGGUGCGACUCUGAGGAUGCCAGGGUCUCACCCGACUCGGACAGAACAUAAAGAAGAGGGAGAAUAGCAUCCUGUAGUUGGUGGCUUCCUGAGAAGGGGUGCCUGAGGAACUGUCCUGGGUUUCACCCAGUCUUUGAGCAAAGUAAAAACCCCCUCCUGCCAGUAGGUGGCACUGCAGGCCCACUCUCAGCCUCUGGCCUCGCUGGUUUCAUUCACUGGUUUAUUUUUCUCUCCUGCCAUGUUACUUGGUGCAGUGCUGGACUCCUGCAGCUAGCUAAGCCAAAAAGGACUUGAAGGGCUCUGAAAAUGUUUGUUAAAAAUACCUGUGUGAGAAGCUGAUUGCUCUUACCAACAACCACUGUGAUUGUGUGUAUGGACACACCCCUGUGAGUGUGUGCAACAGGAUAAAAACUGCAUGUGUGCAUGUUUAUGUGGGUGUGUGUAACGAGUCAGAAAUCUCUGCUGACAACUCUGUGUGUGUGUGUGUGAGUGUGAGUGUACAAGAUGGUUAUCUCUGCUAACUGAGCAUCCUGAGUUCCACAUAUUGAUGGCCAGCCCUGCUUCUUGGGACUAGUUCUGGCUAUUCCCAUCAUCUCAUGGGCAUUAGCACAUGCUCAGGGCGGGGGCUGCUGAGGCCAGGCUUCUUGUCUUUCUCUCCAGUUUCUAGCCUCUGGCCAACAAGGUCUUGGUCCUAACCCUCUGCCUCCCGCCCCUAAUCCUUGCAGCUUUGGGAAGGAAGUGGUAAAAUCUGUGCUAGGACAACCCUUUUGGCUGUACCUGCUUCACCAUCUCUACUUGUUUCUUCCCUUCCUCUGAAAGUCCAAGGCCAACAUGCAUAGUUGGGCAGAUUGUGCACUGCACAAAUUCAGAUGGAGCCAUUCACACUAACUAUGACAUAAAGUGUAAAACCAGCCAAUUGUUCCCAGCUGCCCUGGUCAUCUCAUGGCCAUGGCUAGAAAAACUGCCUUCUUCCCUGCCCCCCUGGCCCAGCCCAGCCUAAACUGGGAUUCCUUCCUCUGCUUGGGUGUUCUAGUCUGGCCCAGAAGUGACUUAUGCUUGGCUUUGAUGAGGAAUUCUCUCCCUGCUGGGCCAUCCCCCAGAGACCUUUGGGAUUCAAUUUAUGAAAGUGAAAUAUGGCUGGCAGCUUUUCAGUUACUCAUCUUUGCAAAGUGAGAGGCCCCUGUAAGACUAACCAAAGUUCUGGGGACUGGGGUCACUGACUCCCACGCUCCUGGCCUGGGGGUGAAUACACCUUCAUGGGCCAACUGUGGAGAUGGGUCUGCCACAGAAUUAGGGUAAAGGCCUCAAGGCUAGGCUUGUAGCUGCCACCAAGCAGAAAAUCAUGAAGUCACCACACACUGGAUGCCAGGGCCAAGUCAUAAACCCUGAUGCCCCCAAGGGCCAGGCAGGAAACAGAAAGAAGCGAAGAGGAUUAGGCGGGGUCUUCGGUGAAAACACUCUGUCGUCUGACACGGGUGCUGCCAUGUGGGCAUGCAGCCUGGUGUUGCUGGGUCUUCCACCCCAUUUUUCAAGGGAAGCUAGAAAUCUGGACUUCUAAAUGUUGGCAACUGUUUUGAGUUUAGAAAACACUGCGCAGGCCAAAUAAAACACAUCUUGCAGGCUAAAUCCAGCCCUCGGGUCUCCAGUCUGCACCCACUGGCCCAGGUCCAGGGAACUGGGUUUUUCAGAACCGAGUAACUGAGAGUGUAAGAAUAUUACCCUCAGACUCACAGAGUUUGGGAUCUUUAAGAGACCUUAGAGAUAACCUAGUCCAUCCCUUGUGUGUUUUAAACUGUGUACAUCGAACUUCUUUAUUAAUUAAUAGCACACACAUCCUUAACUUCCGGUUUCUACUUAAAAGUAUCUCAGUACCUCCAAUUUAGGACAAGAUUUGAAAUGAAGCCUCUACACAUGAUGUGCUUGUAUCUACCCGUCAGAAGCGCUGUUUUAUACCAUUUGCUUUAUGAAAGCUCUACUUUUAUCUUUUGCAAACAUGGACCGCCCGGUCUUCCAUAUAACCUGACCUCCUUGGGUUGUUUUUGAUGGUACAUCUUCUAAGUGCCUCCUUAAACCAUCGGAGCAUGUGUUUCUUCAUUUGCGUGACUAUCCUCGCCCUGCCCCGAGGAUAAGACUGCUCCUGCUUUUCCUGGCUUUGCCCCUCCCUGGGCUGCUCUCAGCCCUCCCCAGGCCCCAGCUCUGUCUGGCUCUGCAGCAUUUACCCAGUCACAGGACAAAAGGGUGCUGCGUGCUUGUCAGUGUGGAUCCCUCUCACUCCCCAUGCUUGUCCUCUACCUUAAUUUUGCAACAUGGGCCUCUGCUUCUUAAAAGCCAUUCAAAUAAAAG
ensembl:lncRNA